GAUGAACGCUGGCGGCGUGCCUAAUACACGCAAGUCGAGCGAAUGGAUUAAGAGCUUGCUCUUAUGAAGUUAGCGGCGGACGGGUGAGUAACACGUGGGUAACCUGCCCAUAAGACUGGGAUAACUCCGGGAAACCGGGGCUAAUACCGGAUAACAUUUUGAACCGCAUGGUUCGAAAUUGAAAGGCGGCUUCGGCUGUCACUUAUGGAUGGACCCGCGUCGCAUUAGCUAGUUGGUGAGGUAACGGCUCACCAAGGCAACGAUGCGUAGCCGACCUGAGAGGGUGAUCGGCCACCCUGGGACUGAGACACGGCCCAGACUCCUACGGGAGGCAGCAGUAGGGAAUCUUCCGCAAUGGACGAAAGUCUGACGGGGCAACGCCGCGUGAGUGAUGAAGGCUUUCGGGUCGUAAAACUCUGUUGUUAGGGAAGAACAAGUGCUAGUUGAAUAAGCUGGCACCUUGACGGUACCUAACCAGAAAGCCACGGCUAACUACGUGCCAGCCGCCGCGGUAA
rnacentral:rRNA from 1 species